UCUUAUGUUGUAUGUUAUUUGAAAUGCUAUGCAGCUCAAACAUUGAGUCAAUCAGUAGCAGCAGGUUUGCGUUCCUAUGUUCAUACAGGAAAACUUCCUAAAGACUGUUUGGGCACUGCGAUAUAUUGCGAGCAGUUCGAUAUUUUAUUCGAUGUUGACAAUUCCUCAACAUUCAAUGAAACGAAAGAACUCAAACGGCCUCUUCAGGAGCAUACGAAACAUUUGGAAUAUUUACAGAGCAUGAAUAAAUCCAUUGAAGAACUGUAUUUCAUUGACAAACGAUGCAAAUCAAUUCAAGACG